rnacentral:rRNA from 1 species
GUGCCAGCCGCCGCGGUAAUACCGGCAGCCCGAGUGAUGGCCGAUCUUAUUGGGCCUAAAGCGUCCGUAGCUGGCUGCGCAAGUCCGUCGGGAAAUCCACUCGCCCAACGAGUGGGCGUCCGACGGAAACUGCAUAGCUUGGGACCGGAAGGCGCGACGGGUACGUCCGGGGUAGGAGUGAAAUCCCGUAAUCCUGGACGGACCGCCGAUGGCGAAAGCACGUCGCGAAGACGGAUCCGACAGUGAGGGACGAAAGCCAGGGUCUCCAACCGGAUUAGAUACCCCGGGAGUCC